UACGUAGGGUGCAAGCGUUGUCCGGAAUUAUUGGGCGUAAAGAGCUCGUAGGCGGUCUGUCGCGUCUGCUGUGAAAACCUAGGGCUUAACUCUGGGCGUGCAGUGGGUACGGGCAGGCUAGAGUGCGGUAGGGGAGACUGGAAUUCCGUGGUGUAGCGGUGAAAUGCGCAGAUAUCAGGAGGAACACCGGUGGCGAAGGCGGUCUCUGGGCGAUUACCUGACGCUGAGGAGCGAAAGUGUCGGGAGGCGAACAGGA
rnacentral:rRNA from 1 species